rnacentral:misc_RNA from 1 species
CAACCCUCACGCCCCUGCGGCGUGGUGUUGGGGAUCGGCCUGGGCGUGAGCCCGGGCCGUCCCCUAAAUCUAGUGGCGGACUCGCUGUAGCCUCCUCUGCGUAGUAGUGAUAUUUCGCACCGGAGAGCGGCGGGCCCCUGCCGUAAAACCCCCACUUCUCAAGG